rnacentral:rRNA from 1 species
CAAAGGAAUUGACGGGGGCCCGCACAAGCGGUGGAGCAUGUGGUUUAAUUCGAUGCAACGCGAAGAACCUUACCUGGCUUGACAUCCCGAGAAUCCCCUGGAAACAGGGGAGUGCCCUUCGGGGAGCUCGGAGACAGGUGGUGCAUGGUUGUCGUCAGCUCGUGUCGUGAGAUGUUGGGUUAAGUCCCGCAACGAGCGCAACCCCUACGUUUAGUUGCUAACGCGUGAAGGCGAGCACUCUAGACGAACUGCCGUUGACAAAACGGAGGAAGGUGGGAUGACGUCAAAUCAUCAUGCCCCUUAUGUUCUGGGCUACACACGUGCUACAAUGGCCGGUACAGACGGACGCAAAGCCGCGAGGUGGAGCAAAUCCUAAAAAGCCGGUCUCAGUUCGGAUUGCAGGCUGCAAUUCGCCUGCAUGAAGUCGGAAUCGCUAGUAAUCGCAGGUCAGCAUACUGCGGUGAAUACGUUCCCGGGCCUU